AGAAUUUGAUCUUGGUCAGGACGAACGCUGGCGGCGUGCUUAACACAUGCAAGUCGAACGGGCUUAAAGAGGAGCUUGCUUUUCUUAAGUUAGUGGCGGACGGGUGAGUAACGCGUGAGCAACUUGCCUUGGACAGUGGAAUAACACAGGGAAACUUGUGCUAAUACCGCAUGAAGUGCGGAGAGGGCAUCCUUUCUGUACCAAAGGAAGCAAUUCCGGUCUGAGAUGGGCUCGCGUCCGAUUAGAUAGUUGGUGAGGUAACGGCCCACCAAGUCAACGAUCGGUAGCCGGACUGAGAGGUUGGCCGGCCACAUUGGGACUGAGACACGGCCCAGACUCCUACGGGAGGCAGCAGUGGGGAAUAUUAGGCAAUGGGGGCAACCCUGAACCCUAGCAACGCCGCGCGAAGGAUGAAGGUUUUCGGAUUGUAAACUUCUUUGGCAGGGGACGAUAAUGACGGUACCCUGAGAGCAAGCCACGGCUAACUACGUGCCAGCCGCUGC
rnacentral:rRNA from 1 species